AUUUCCGUGUGAAUGCCCACCUGAUCGCUGCACAUGUACCCUAUGUCAGUUGGUGUGUUCAUGGGUGGGGUUAUCACACCAGUUCGAUAUACCCCAGCAUCAACGAGAACAACAACAUCAUCAUCAUCAUCAACAACAACUACACCAACAGAAGAACGGGUCAAGCUCCAUUGAAGAAAGAAACAGAAGCUUCUCAUUAACGGACAUUAUUCAUCAGUUUGGUGUCGGACUUUCACCUCAACUUUCACCUGACCCUUGUUAUAGACUGUCUAUCAAGCCAUGGUUACCCACAGCCCUACAGCCUGAUUAGAACAAACAUACAAUAAUAAAGACUUCUCUCCUUCUCACUUCCCAUCACCAGCACCAUCAAGGUGUUACUUUUUUGUCAUUUUUCUUUGUCCUAUGGUCUUGAUUUCCACCCGUGGCGUUCACUACUCAUAUGAUUGUCACGUAAUUUUUGUUUUGUAGAUAGGUUAUGCAUCGAUCUGUCUACCUAUAUUUAAUCUUUUAAUCAGACUACUUCACUACACCACAUUUCAUCACUACUACCAACAGCACACCGUUGCUACUAUUGUACUAUACACUAGCCACUAUACUAACUGAUCGCAAAUUGGUGGCAGCAGACAUUUUGUUUUGGAAGUUUUAAAAGUUUUCAGUUGGGAUUAACUGAAGGAGUGGCAACAACACCACCAGUAGUAUUAUUGGGAAGAAUAGAAGCAAAAUCUCCUUUAAAAAAUACAUUAUCUCGCUUCCCUACUUUUAUAAUCACAAUUUCUUGUACAAGAGCUAUCAACCCCGCUACACCGCUUCCUUCCACGUCACCCAUCUAAGAAAACUUCAUACAGCUCCCAGUUACCCUCUUCUCUUUCCUUCACUGCGUCAUCAUCAACAUCAUCAUCAUCAUUAUAAUAGCCGUCAUUUCAGGUGGUUUAACCCCAAAUCCAGAACAACAUAUUUUACACGCCCCCACCCCCCAACAGUCUCGGACCUCUCCUACCUUAACUCCACCUCUCUUGGCCCCACGUGCUGCAUUGUUUAGCGAGGUCACACUAAAAACUUUUGUUCACCGUUGUGGGAGCUAGUGGUGCCCGGAAAGGGGUACUGUGGCUAGCUGCGUGAUUGGGUGAGUGGAGUAAGCGGGUGGAUGGGUGUGCUGGGAGACAGAUACACCCUUUCCACCCACAUACAAAUAAAUUGAAACAAAAAUAAACAAAACUAUAAUAAACAAUAA
rnacentral:lncRNA from 1 species